rnacentral:lncRNA from 10 species
GGUCUGCACAAGCUAAGGCCUGGGCUCCUGGCAGACUUUCCUGCUAGCCCAGAAGACACCCACACACCCAAACCACUGGGAACGUGGCUUGCUGACCUUGGCAGGAAGAAGGGCUGAGUCGGCCUUUUGCGUAACAUAAAUACUCAGCACAGCUGCCUGCGACCUGCCCACUUCUUGUCAAAUCCAAGAAGGAAGGGACCUGCUGGCCAAACCCUUUUUUCCCACUGGACCUCAGACCCCAAGGAACUUGGAGUCUGCUCAAGUGAGUGAGUUGGGGCUCUUCGCCCUCCCAGAACUGGCUGUUGAUGGAAGAAACCCCUGCGUAGGAAGGAUGGUCCCACACAUCCUUUUAGAUCUGAUUCAAAUCCCACGACUUCCAUGAAGAUGUGUUCCACUUACUCUGAUUUCUCUCUUCUUGGAACUCCUGUCACCCUGGAUUCAUGGAGCUGGAAGGCAUCCAGUGAGACACACUAGAGGAGAGAUGGUCUCUGAGGUUGUUUCCAGCACUAAGGGUCUUCGGAACUCUCCUGCUAUCAUGUGAAGCAGCAUGGACUAGCCUACAGAGGAUGAGGCCUCAUGGAGCAGACAAGCUGUCUCAGUUGAGGCCCUCAAAACCAAUCAAGCUCCAGCUGAACUGCCAGGUGACUGUAGCUGCAUGAGUGACCCCAGGCAAGAUGAGCAGAAGAGGCCCCAACUGAGCCCAACCCAAAUAGCUGACUCAUGGAAUCAUGAGCAAAUAAAAUGGUUGUUUUAAGCCACUAAGUUUUUAGAUGGUUUGUUACCCAGCAAUACAUAAUUGGUUUAUCAGAUAUCACAGCUAUUUUAUAGAUGAAGAAACUGACUCUCCAAGAAUUUGAUUGACUUGCACAUCAGGACAAGGACUGGGAUGGAAAGAGAAAGCCA